rnacentral:rRNA from 1 species
GAUGAACGCUAGCUACAGGCUUAACACAUGCAAGUCAAGGGGUAACGAGAGGAAAGCUUGCUUUCCUUGUCGACGACCGGCGCACGGGUGAGUAACGCGUAUCCAACCUGCCCCCAACUAGGGAAUAACCUUGCGAAAGUAAGACUAAUACCCUAUAAUUUCCUCAGAUGUCAUCUGACGAGGAAUAAAGAUUUAUCGGUUGUGGAUGGGGAUGCGUCUGAUUAGCUUGUUGGCGGGGUAACGGCCCACCAAGGCAACGAUCAGUAGGGGUUCUGAGAGGAAGGUCGCUCACAGUGGAACUGCAACACGGUACAAACUCCUACGGGAGGCAGCAGUGAGGAAUAUUGGUCAAUGGGCGGAAGCCUGAACCAGCCAAGUAGCGUGCAGGAUGACGGCCCUAUGAGUUGUAAACUGCUUUUAUACAGGAAUAAAGUUAGCCACGUGUGGUUAUUUGUAGGUACUGUAUGAAUAAGGACCGGCUAAUUCCGUGCCAGCCGCCGCGGUAA